rnacentral:rRNA from 1 species
UCGAACGGUAACAGGUCUUCGGAUGCUGACGAGUGGCGAACGGGUGAGUAAUACAUCGGAACGUGCCUAGUAGUGGGGGAUAACUACUCGAAAGAGUAGCUAAUACCGCAUGAGAUCUACGGAUGAAAGCAGGGGAUCGCAAGACCUUGUGCUACUAGAGCGGCUGAUGGCAGAUUAGGUAGUUGGUGGGAUAAAAGCUUACCAAGCCGACGAUCUGUAGCUGGUCUGAGAGGACGAUCAGCCACACUGGGACUGAGACACGGCCCAGACUCCUACGGGAGGCAGCAGUGGGGAAUUUUGGACAAUGGGCGAAAGCCUGAUCCAGCAAUGCCGCGUGCAGGAUGAAGGCCUUCGGGUUGUAAACUGCUUUUGUACGGAACGAAAAGCUUUGGGUUAAUACCCUGGAGUCAUGACGGUACCGUAAGAAUAAGCACCGGCUAACUACGUGCCAGCAGCCGCGGUAAUACGUAGGGUGCAAGCGUUAAUCGGAAUUACUGGGCGUAAAGCGUGCGCAGGCGGUUUUGUAAGACAGAGGUGAAAUCCCCGGGCUCAACCUGGGAACUGCCUUUGUGACUGCAAGGCUAGAGUACGGCAGAGGGGGGUGGAAUUCCGCGUGUAGCAGUGAAAUGCGUAGAUAUGCGGAGGAACACCGAUGGCGAAGGCAACCCCCUGGGCCUGUA